UCAAACUUGGUCAUUUAGAGGAAGUAAAAGUCGUAACAAGGUCUCCGUUGGUGAACCAGCGGAGGGAUCAUUAAAGAGUUCUAUAACUCCCAAACCCAUGUGAACAUACCUUCUGUUGCCUCGGCAGGUCGUGCCUACCUCGUAGCGCCCUACCCUGUAGGACCUACCCGGCAGACGCGGGUAAGCCUGCCGGCGGCCCAUUAAGCUCUGUCUAUUCUUGAUUUCUGAACCUAUAACUAAAUAAGUUAAAACUUUCAACAACGGAUCUCUUGGUUCUGGCAUCGAUGAAGAACGCAGC
rnacentral:misc_RNA from 1 species